rnacentral:rRNA from 1 species
UAACACUAACUGGAGGACCGAACCGACUAAUGUUGAAAAAUUAGCGGAUGACUUGUGGCUGGGGGUGAAAGGCCAAUCAAACCGGGAGAUAGCUGGUUCUCCCCGAAAGCUAUUUAGGUAGCGCCUCGUGAAUUCAUCUCCGGGGGUAGAGCACUGUUUCGGCAAGGGGGUCAUCCCGACUUACCAACCCGAUGCAAACUGCGAAUACCGGAGAAUGUUAUCACGGGAGACACACGGCGGGUGCUAACGUCCGUCGUGAAGAGGGAAACAACCCAGACCGCCAGCUAAGGUCCCAAAGUCAUGGUUAAGUGGGAAACGAUGUGGGAAGGCCCAGACAGCCAGGAUGUUGGCUUAGAAGCAGCCAUCAUUUAAAGAAAGCGUAAUAGCUCACUGGUCGAGUCGGCCUGCGCGGAAGAUGUAACGGGGCUAAACCAUGCACCGAAGCUGCGGCAGCGACGCUUAUGCGUUGUUGGGUAGGGGAGCGUUCUGUAAGCCUGUGAAGGUGGCCUGUGAGGGUUGCUGGAGGUAUCAGAAGUGCGAAUGCUGACAUAAGUAACGAUAAAGCGGGUGAAAAGCCCGCUCGCCGGAAGACCAAGGGUUCCUGUCCAACGUUAAUCGGGGCAGGGUGAGUCGACCCCUAAGGCGAGGCCGAAAGGCGUAGUCGAUGGGAAACAGGUUAAUAUUCCUGUACUUGGUGUUACUGCGAAGGGGGGACGGAGAAGGCUAUGUUGGCCGGGCGACGGUUGUCCCGGUUUAAGCGUGUAGGCUGGUUUUCCAGGCAAAUCCGGAAAAUCAAGGCUGAGGCGUGAUGACGAGGCACUACGGUGCUGAAGCGACAAAUGCCCUGCUUCCAGGAAAAGCCUCUAAGCAUCAGGUAACAUUAAAUCGUACCCCAAACCGACACAGGUGGUCAGGUAGAGAAUACCAAGGCGCUUGAGAGAACUCGGGUGAAGGAACUAGGCAAAAUGGUGCCGUAACUUCGGGAGAAGGCACGCUGAUAUGUAGGUGAAGCGACUUGCUCGUGGAGCUGAAAUCAGUCGAAGAUACCAGCUGGCUGCAACUGUUUAUUAAAAACACAGCACUGUGCAAACACGAAAGUGGACGUAUACGGUGUGACGCCUGCCCGGUGCCGGAAGGUUAAUUGAUGGGGUUAGCGGUAACGCGAAGCUCUUGAUCGAAGCCCCGGUAAACGGCGGCCGUAACUAUAACGGUCCUAAGGUAGCGAAAUUCCUUGUCGGGUAAGUUCCGACCUGCACGAAUGGCGUAAUGAUGGCCAGGCUGUCUCCACCCGAGACUCAGUGAAAUUGAACUCGCUGUGAAGAUGCAGUGUACCCGCGGCAAGACGGAAAGACCCCGUGAACCUUUACUAUAGCUUGACACUGAACAUUGAGCCUUGAUGUGUAGGAUAGGUGGGAGGCUUUGAAGUGUGGACGCCAGUCUGCAUGGAGCCGACCUUGAAAUACCACCCUUUAAUGUUUGAUGUUCUAACGUGGGCCCCUUACCGGGGUUGCGGACAGUGUCUGGUGGGUAGUUUGACUGGGGCGGUCUCCUCCUAAAGAGUAACGGAGGAGCACGAAGGUUGGCUAAUCCUGGUCGGACAUCAGGAGGUUAGUGCAAUGGCAUAAGCCAGCUUGACUGCGAGCGUGACGGCGCGAGCAGGUGCGAAAGCAGGUCAUAGUGAUCCGGUGGUUCUGAAUGGAAGGGCCAUCGCUCAACGGAUAAAAGGUACUCCGGGGAUAACAGGCUGAUACCGCCCAAGAGUUCAUAUCGACGGCGGUGUUUGGCACCUCGAUGUCGGCUCAUCACAUCCUGGGGCUGAAGUAGGUCCCAAGGGUAUGGCUGUUCGCCAUUUAAAGUGGUACGCGAGCUGGGUUUAGAACGUCGUGAGACAGUUCGGUCCCUAUCUGCCGUGGGCGCUGGAGAACUGAGGGGGGCUGCUCCUAGUACGAGAGGACCGGAGUGGACGCAUCACUGGUGUUCGGGUUGUCAUGCCAAUGGCACUGCCCGGUAGCUAAAUGCGGAAGAGAUAAGUGCUGAAAGCAUCUAAGCACGAAACUUGCCCCGAGAUGAGUUCUCCCUGACUCCUUGAGAGUCCUGAAGGAACGUUGAAGACGACGACGUUGAUAGGCCGGGUGUGUAAGCGCAGCGAUGCGUUGAGCUAACCGGUACUAAUGAACCGUGAGGCUUA